rnacentral:rRNA from 1 species
ACGGGAGGCAGCAGUGGGGAAUAUUGCACAAUGGGCGAAAGCCUGAUGCAGCGACGCCGCGUGAACGAAGAAGUAUUUCGGUACGUAAAGUUCUAUCAGCAGGGAAGAAGAAUGACGGUACCUGACUAAGAAGCACCGGCUAAAUACGUGCCAGCAGCCGCGGUAAUACGUAUGGUGCAAGCGUUAUCCGGAUUUACUGGGUGUAAAGGGAGCGCAGGCGGUAUGGCAAGUCUGAUGUGAAAGCCCGGGGCUCAACCCCGGUACUGCAUUGGAAACUACCAGACUAGAGUGUCGGAGAGGUAAGUGGAAUUCCUAGUGUAGCGGUGAAAUGCGUAGAUAUUAGGAGGAACACCAGUGGCGAAGGCGGCUUACUGGACGAUAACUGACGCUGAGGCUCGAAAGCGUGGGGAGCAAACAGGAUUAGAUACCCUGGUA